rnacentral:rRNA from 1 species
GAUGAACGCUGGCGGCGUGCCUAAUACAUGCAAGUCGAGCGAACAGACGAGGAGCUUGCUCCUCUGACGUUAGCGGCGGACGGGUGAGUAACACGUGGAUAACCUACCUAUAAGACUGGGAUAACUUCGGGAAACCGGAGCUAAUACCGGAUAAUAUAUUGAACCGCAUGGUUCAAUAGUGAAAGACGGCUUUGCUGUCUCUUAUAGAUGGAUCCGCGCCGCAUUAGCUAGUUGGUAAGGUAACGGCUUACGAAGGCAACGAUGCGUAGCCGACCUGGGAGGGUGAUCGGCCACACUGGAACUGAGACACGGUCCAGACUCCUACGGGAGGCAGCAGUGGAGUAUAUUCCGCAAUGGGCGAAAGCCUGACCGAGCAACGCCGCGUGUGUGGUGAAGAUCUUCGGAUCGUGAAGCUCUGUUAUUAGGAAAGAACAAAUGUGUAAGUAACUAUACACGUCUUGACGGUACCUAAUAAGAAAGCAACGGCUAACUACGUG